rnacentral:rRNA from 1 species
UACGUAGGGGGCAAGCGUUGUCCGGAAUCAUUGGGCGUAAAGAGCGUGUAGGCGGCCAGGUAGGUCUGCUGUGAAAACUCGAGGCUUAACCUCGAGAUGUCGGCGGAAACCAUCUGGCUAGAGUCCGGAAGAGGAGAAUGGAAUUCCCGGUGUAGCGGUGAAAUGCGCAGAUAUCGGGAGGAACACCAAUGGCGAAGGCAGCUCGCUGGAACGGUACUGACGCUGAGGCGCGAAAGCGUGGGGAGCGAACAGG